UGGACAGAUUAUUGUAUUCGACUGUAUUCACAGCGUAAAACAGGGGAUUACACUGUUUUUAAAUGGAAAGUGAAUCAAUUAACAUAAUAGACUCCU
rfam:Nicotiana attenuata strain TT scaffold03942, whole genome shotgun sequence.